AAAUUGAAGAGUUUGAUCAUGGCUCAGAUUGAACGCUGGCGGCAGGCCUAACACAUGCAAGUCGAACGGUAACAGAAAGAAGCUUGCUUCUUUGCUGACGAGUGGCGGACGGGUGAGUAAUGUCUGGGAAACUGCCUGAUGGAGGGGGAUAACUACUGGAAACGGUAGCUAAUACCGCAUAACGUCGCAAGACCAAAGAGGGGGACCUUCGGGCCU
rnacentral:rRNA from 1 species